CUCUGACUUGAGCAGGCAUGAAGGAGCAUUACUCCUUUUUCCAAUCUCUACAACAUCACCUGAAUGCAGCAUAAGUUGCCUCUCUGACCUAAGCUGACACCAGGAGCACAGGACCUGACAAAGACUGGUUGGAACUGCACCUGGUCAAGUGGUGUAAAGGUGACUGUUGUCAAAUAACUUGUAUUCAGAAUAAAAAAGUUCUCACUAGUUCUUUUUCUAGCUGUUGGAGGCAGUGUCACACAUAAUAUACAAGGGGUCAAUGGAUGUUUUUGUAACUCACUGGCAAAGAGGUACUGUACAUAUAACUCCAACUAAAUGUAUUAGGGCUAAUUUGAAUGUAUGCAAACAGCACUUUUACACUGUGACUAUUUGCUCUGCAGUUUGAGAAACAUUGGACCAUUUGUGUUCUAUGAUUUUGAAAAUGUGUUUUUGGCUCAUUCACACAUGUUUAGCAAGUACAAAAUUCACUCCUUACUUUAUGCUGACACAGACUUAAAGUUUUCAGACAGAGAAGAUUGGAUAUUGAGGUCUGUCUCAUACAGAGACCUGAUCCCUAUGGCAGUAAAAGGGAACAAAGGACAUAGCCUAUAUUUGAGUAUUGAGGGAUUUGAGUUAAAAUGCAGACAGACUAUAAAACUGAAAAUGUAUUGGAUUGUUAAAAAUACCUCAAAUACAGUGAUCUUAAAUGGUAUAAUUUAUUGUGUUUUUAAGCUCACAUUAGAUGUUUCCCAAAUUGUGCAGUCCUAUUGAAUUUUAGGAGUCUCGUUCUGGUAUGAUAGAGUCAGCAGGUGAGAUCACAAUGAACUGUGGUAAAGUUUUUAUCCUUUUUUAUUAUUCAUUGAAAAAUAAAUCUGAACAGCUCAACACUCUGUCCUUGACAUAUGCCUGAGUGUUUUUUAGUGAGCUCUUUUUUUACUGAAGUCUGUUUUAUAGAUUCCUCUGGAAAAAAAAAAGGGGGGGGGGGGGGUGAGACGUGGAGCUGUUUGUCAAUCCGUGUCUUCAGUGAAGCACAGCAGUAAAUCCUUUCAGCAAUCAGACAAACCUUACUGUCAAAGCUGUUGAUCCUCUGAAGAUCUUUCCCUCUAAGUGGACUUGAACCAUCACAUCAGCACCUGGAUAACCUGAUCAUUUUCUUGAUUAAAGUCCAGACUGAGCAGUCAGUGUAGGAGUAGCUGUUUAUGAGCAUUUCUUUAUCCAGAAACAAACACAGAUCAGUUUCUCUCUUUUUAUAGAUUAUAAGGAAAGUCAGCAGCUCCACAUGUCUGUCAGAUCUCCAUCAGAGCCCCUUUUCUCCUGUGAACACUGCUGUAAUAACAGAGAAGAGAUCACUGCUCUCCAGAAACAGAAUAUUAACGGUACUUUGAAGUUUCAGCAGCAACAAUGAUCUAUGAAUUCAAUAUGCUCAGAUAAUCUCCUUAUCCAGAGCCCAGAGGAUGGAGUAAAAAGCACGUGCACUUACAUGUAUGAGCGCCAUGAAGUGCCAGCCAUAGAGCAAACAGCCAGGGAGUCAGAAUUAAAGAAGUUAAUGAUAACAACGCCAUAACCAUCUGUGACAGGGAAUAUUUGUCUAACUUAUAUCACAGUUUAGUGGGAGCUCACUCGAUGCAGUCUCUUUCUGUUGAUCUUAUGCUGAUAAAUAUCUUCUUUUUCAGUUAAUGAGUCUUUGUGUGAGAUCAGAGAGGGACCCCUUAAUCCCCUCAGCUCAACUGGAAACAAAGUCCUGAAUGGCAAAUUCUUAAAGCAGAAUCACUCCCAAUUUAAGCAGAAAACAAUGCCGGGACUUUUUAUUUUGCAUUUUUUUUUCAAACAAAAAUAUCAGUUCACAUGCUGCUGACCAAUAACAAAAUAGACAAGAUCAACAAUGAAGUGAAGUGUUUGAAACAGCUGCCUCCAAACAAGCAUCUGGUCUUUAAAUGUCAGAAACAAUCAGAUUCAAGCUGCCAUAACAAGCAGACAGCCUGGGCCUUUGACUGCUGCUCUAACAGGCUGAAACUCCCAUUUCAAACAUCCAACUUUGGUGGAAAAAUGAAAAGAGCAUUACUCUUUCAACACUGUCAACAUCAGCCAGCCUGGAGUGGUGAUUUUAAUGUAGCUUUAGUGUGCAGUCUGCUGCUACUCUCCAUAGAUAACUGAACAAAACUAGAGUGACCUGGCAUGCCUCAUCUUCCUGAUCUGAGCUUUAAAGCUGAUCGAUUUCAGGCUAUGGGCUCAUCUAUGCGACCUUUACCUAUAAAAAUAGGUCUGUACGUUCAAGACAAUGUUGCGGAGAGGAACAAUGGAAACACUGUCACUUUUACAGUUCUGAACUCUUGUUUUAAUGAUGACACCAGUUUCAUCUUUCAGUGUUUUCUUCGGCUGUUACAGUUUUGUUUACCACCCAGCCUCCUAGAAACACAUUUAUGAACUCCACUUCUGGAGUGAGAACUCUUGAGUCUGCACAGAACAGUUAGGCAAGUCUCAGUAUGAUGGCACUUCAAGAUCUUUAAACUUCAUCCAUGUGGACCCCAGGAAGAGGAGCUGCUACAUUAACAGAUAUGAACCAAGCAAAGAGGAAUAAACUGCAUCGGCUCUAAUUUCGUGCCCUCUGGCGGUGCAGCACGGGGCUCACCCUGCACAGUGGUAAUUUAGUGCAGCAUAGCCCCUCGUGCAGCCACUUUGGUAAAUUUGUGGACUGAGGCGCACUGAGAUGUGCCAAGCUGGGCAGGGCAGCGCAGUACGGGGAGGUGUCAACGCAGCUGGUGUAUUGACAAAUUUGUGCAGAGCGAUGCAGAGAGUGCGUUGAAAGCUCGCCAGUUUAAAUCUAGUCAGCUUUCGGUAAAGGUGGAGCGCAGCUGGAACAUUUUAGUGUUAGGCACUUGUAUCAUAUUAUGAUGUGUUAUGAAUAUACACUCACCGGCCACUUUAUUAGGUACACCAUGCUAGUAACGGGUUGGACCCCCUUUUGCCUUCAGAACUGCCUCAAUUCUUCGUGGCAUAGAUUCAACAAGGUGCUGGAAGCAUUCCUCAGAGAGCUUGGUCCAUAUUGACAUGAUGGCAUCACACAGUUGCCGCAGAUUUGUCGGCUGCACAUCCAUGAUGCGAAUCUCCCGUUCCACCACAUCCCAAAGAUGCUCUAUUGGAUUGAGAUCUGGUGACUGUGGAGGCCAUUUGAGUACAGUGAACUCAUUGUCAUGUUCAAGAAACCAGUCUGAGAUGAUUCCAGCUUUAUGACAUGGCGCAUUAUCCUGCUGAAAGUAGCCAUCAGAAGUUGGGUACAUUGUGGUCAUAAAGGGAUGGACAUGGUCAGCAACAAUACUCAGGUAGGCUGUGGCGUUGCAACGAUGCUCAAUUAGUACCAAGGGGCCCAAAGAGUGCCAAGAAAAUAUUCCCCACACCAUGACACCACCACCACCAGCCUGAACCGUUGAUACAAGGCAGGAUGGAUCCAUGCUUUCAUGUUGUUGACGCCAAAUUCUGACCCUACCAUCCGAAUGUCGCAGCAGAAAUCGAGACUCAUCAGACCAGGCAACGUUUUUCCAAUCUUCUAUUGUCCAAUUUCGAUGAGCUUGUGCAAAUUGUAGCCUCAGUUUCCUGUUCUUAGCUGAAAGGAGUGGCACCCGGCGUGGUCUUCUGCUGCUGUAGCCCAUCUGCCUCAAAGUUCGACGUACUGUGCGUUCAGAGAUGCUCUUCUGCCUACCUUGGUUGUAACGGGUGGUUAUUUGAGUCACUGUUGCCUUUCUAUCAGCUCGAACCAGUCUGGCCAUUCUCCUCUGACCUCUGGCAUCAACAAGGCAUUUCCGCCCACAGAACUGCCGCUCACUGGAUAUUUUUUCUUUUUCGGACCAUUCUCUGUAAACCCUAGAGAUGGUUGUGCGUGAAAAUCCCAGUAGAUCAGCAGUUUCUGAAAUACUCAGACCAGCCCUUCUGGCACCAACAACCAUGCCACGUUCAAAGUCACUCAAAUCACCUUUCUUCCCCAUACUGAUGCUCGGUUUGAACUGCAGGAGAUUGUCUUGACCAUGUCUACAUGCCUAAAUGCACUAAGUUGCCGCCAUGUGUGAGCGCAGCUGGAACAUUUUAGUGUUAAGCACUUGUAUCAUAUUAUGAUGUGUUAUGAAUAUAUGUAGACAUAUCAUGUGAGACAACAGACAAUUGAAUUUUCCUUCGGGGAUUAGUAAAGUUAUUCUUAUUCUUAUUGUAAUGGACACUCAACCUGACUGAAUUAACACAGCUGAAACUGCAUAAAACUAAAUAUCCUAAACACACACAAUGAUGUUAAACACAAUAUUUAAUUCGUGCCAUCACCACCUCUUCCUCCUCUUCCUUAGCUGGACACCACACACUGUUAAUGGAGCCUGAGAGCCGUCUGCCUCUCAUGCGUAGCCUUGACGGCCACCUGGGAAAGGCGGGUUCAGUGGAUGGCUCCGGGGUAGGAAGCAGUAAAGUUAGUAACAUUAGCUACUGUCCUCCACUCCAACAUUUGGAAUCCCACCCACCAGGUCUUGAGUUCCAAGUUUAAUGCAAAUUUGCAUGGCAUUUGUUUAUGUUGUAAUCUGUGCGCACAACCCACCUUUGUCACGUGGGUUUUAAAUAUAUGCAACUUGAUGUGAGUGUCUUUAUUUGUGGAAUAGGGUGUUUGUCUUACCAGUGGGUCCAACCUUACACACACUAAAUCCCUCUGUGGUCAUUUAAGAGAGUGUGGAGGAAGUGACGUCCUCUGAUGCGCUUAGUGUGACACUUGUUGAGGGACUGCCUCCACUCCUCAGUCAUCUUUUAGACUACUUCAUAAAUUUCACCUCGCUGGUGGCACAUAUAUAGGUGAAGAGAGGAGAUGAUGUGAUAGGUGAAAAUUGGACCUGGGAGUGUUAAACCCACUCCAAGCCUUCUCUCCUCCUUCUUUCCUUCUUGCACCACACCUGUGCCACGCCAACAAGGAGGCAUGAAAUUAGAGCCCUGUGUCUGUUUUCACACAAAUAUUGAUCCAGAAGUUAUGAGCACUGUCAUACAAGUUUUUAUUGAUCUGCAUGACAUUUUAUAUUCAGAUCCUGUCUCAGAGUAAUGAGCUGGUGAAAACACCAUCUGUUAUUUGUAAUAAAUCUCCUAUGCAGUCAAUUGUAGAUCAAAAAGAUGUAUAAGAACUGGUUCAUCAUCUGCUGAUAGUUAGCUGAAGGUUCCCUACAGGUAUUGGAGAUUCGACUUUAAUCAAUCAGGAAGUAAGGAAAACAUAACCAGCACGUAUCAGCUAUUUUCGACAGUUUCACACUCACAUACCUAAGAACGUAUGAAUAAUUAAUCCUGAAUAAUCAGGAAAUAAGCUGCAGGGUGUCACAACAAAGCUUCACUUUAAACAUGAUUUUAAUCAGCAUAUUUAUGAAACUUUUGACUCCAAUCUGUGUUGGGUGGAAAAUCCAUGAAUCUGCAAUUUCCAGCUGGGAUUGUAAAGACCAGCUCUUGAAUAUCAACCUUACAGCAGAGCAUCUCAGCUCACACAUGGCUCUUUUUUUUACCAGCCAUACUUGUGAUAAUCCCACACUAAUCCUCAAUUUAAUCUUACAGUCCAGUGUUCCUCUCUGCAGAGCCCACCAAGAAGACCAUCAGAGACCUCUUUGUUCCCUAAAGCUCUGCUUCAAUGACUUUUUGGGUGGAAUAAAACAUGUUAUUUCCUAAAGCCCUAACAUUCUCAGAGAUCCUCUAGACUGAUUUAUAUGCAGGCAUUACUCUGAAGACAGGUGGGAGGGGGGUUGAGGAUAGAAAAUGUGAUGGGGCCAUGACAGAGGUGCCUGAAUAAAAAAGUGCCAGCAGGUUUUAAUACAAAUACAAACAAAUUCAGUAGAAAACAAUGGUCUUCAAAAGCUUUGAAUGAAUGCAGAAAUGGGUGACAAAAUGAUGGAUCCACUCCACAGUCUGAUGUGUGUGAGUCAUAAUGAGAGUCAGAUCGGAGGGCUUUCUCUGGGGGAUACCUGCUCUUCUCUGUAAACACGUUAAAGUCCAUGAAAGGCAGAUUUCACAGGAGGUCUGCUCUCCUGCUCUGAUCUGAUUUUUGCUCCUCUCUUCCAUCCCUCAUCCUCUGAAAUAAUUCAGUUUCCUCUGAUGUUUCUCUUUGUUUCUUCCCUAGGAAAUGUGGAGCAGAGUGUAAACCUGAGUCCAGGGUCACUGUGGUCCUCAUUUCUUUCUAAGCUCUGUAUGAGGAGACCAGCUUGGACUGAGACAUCCAGAUCCUCUGAGUGUAAACCCCCUUUGGAUCCUAAUGAUGGAUGUCUUUCUUUUGAGGCAGAACGGUGAUAGUCAGCUGUGACUGAGCAGAGUCCAAUCCUCUCUCUGAUUCAAGCAAUGUAGAUCAAACAAAUCUUUGUGUAUCUGUAAAUAAACCUUUCAAAUGGUUCUUUAACACAUCCACAAUGAUAAUUCCCUUAAACAAAACAUCUGAUUAGGGCAG